GAUGAACGCUGGCGGCGUGCCUAAUACAUGCAAGUCGAGCGAACAGACGAGGAGCUUGCUCCUCUGACGUUAGCGGCGGACGGGUGAGUAACACGUGGAUAACCUACCUAUAAGACUGGGAUAACUUCGGGAAACCGGAGCUAAUACCGGAUAAUAUAUUGAACCGCAUGGUUCAAUAGUGAAAGAUGGUUUUGCUGUCACUUCUAGAUGGAUCCGCGCCUCUUUAGCUAGUUGGGAAGGUAACGGCUUACCAAGGCGGCGAUGCGUAGCCGACCGGAGAGGGGGAUCGGCCACACUGGAGCUGAAACGCGGACACGGGUCCUACGGGAGGCAGCAGUAGGGAACGUGCCGCAAUGGGCGGAAGCAUUACGGAGCAGCGGCGCGUGAGUGAUGAAGAUCUUCGGAGCGUAAAACUCUGUUAUGAGGGAAGAACAAAUGUGUAAGUAAAAGUGCACGUCUUGACGGUACCUAAACAGGAAGCACCGGCUAACUACGUG
rnacentral:rRNA from 1 species